rnacentral:rRNA from 1 species
CAAUAGCGUAUAUUAAAGUUGUUGCAGUUAAAAAGCUCGUAGUUGGAUUUCUGGUAGGAGUGACCGUUCCGAACUUGAUUGUUCGUGUAUUGUGUUUUCUCCAGCCAUCCUUGUGGAGAACUUUUCUUUCAUUAAUUUGUAGGGAUUGGGACCCGCAUCGUUUACUGUGAAAAAAUUAGAGUGUUUAAAGCAGGCAAUCGCUUGAAUACAUUAGCAUGGAAUAAUAAGAUAGGACUUUGGUACUAUUUUGUUGGUUUGCAUACCAAAUUAAUGAUCAACAGGAACAGUUUGAGGAUAUUCGUAUGAACAUGUCAGAGGUGAAAUUCUUGGAUUUUGAUCAGACGAACUACUGCGAAAGCAUUUAUCAAGGAUGUUUUCAUUAA